CAUGAAAGCCAAAGUAAUUAAGACAACUGAAAAGAUUAAUAUGAUGCACAAGCACAACGCAUUAGAAGCAUGUCUACAUGACUGGUACUUUGGUCCAGCCACAAAAGAUUUGCAAUUUUUAGUUUCCCUCUCUCUGAGUCUUUGCCUUUUCCAUUAUUUUUCCUUCUUUUCAUCACUCACAUUAGCAACAUAUUUCAUCUGCUAAGAUCGGAGUAAUUAUCAAAUUUUACCAAAAACAGGGGAACGAGAAGAAAGUCUAAAACAACAUAGAGAUGAGCCACUUCUAAACCUUUCAAAGUCCAAAACCUUUGGUUGACAAGACACUCUCAUUCCAAAAGUCAUAAGGGGCAUACUUUCACCACAAACAUAUUUCUUCCCAAAAGAAACAUGGUUGGCGAGUAUUCCUUUCAAGUAUAAAAGCUAGAAGCAACUGUUUCUUAGAACCUGAUUGCCUAAACACUGGAUAAUUCUUUAAAAGAAUUUAGUAGCUUGCUGAUCCUAAAGGCUGUGGAAAAUGUGGCUCACUUCCAUUGCAUAAAUUGAAAACAAUUAUAGCACUACAAAUUUUUAUUUUUAUUUUUAUUUUUUGGAACCAUGGCUAUGGUUAAGCACUUGAACUUAGGGUGAGAUUGUUGAUGCUCCCUAAUAAGUGCUGCUGUGCAAAAAUGAGACAGAGAAGGCCAACCAUUUUCACAUUUCUUUGUCUAGCAACACUCUUUAAACCUUUUUCCUCCUUAUUGGGUAUCUUUUGGGUCAUGCCCAAGUCAAUCUUAAAUUUGUCUCGAGGCUAGUGGAUUAAAUAUGAUUAAAAGUGGAAUGUAGCUCCAAUAUGUGUUCUUUCCUCCAUGUAUAAUGAGCAGAACAAUGUAAUCUUCGAGAAUUAAGAACUCAUUACUUGAAACUUAAAAAUAUUAUCGUAGGAUCUCCUUAGUUUGGUGCUCGCCAUCCUCAUCUAAGCUAGAUUUUAUUGGAGUGUGUAACUGGUUCUAAUCAGACUUCCAUGUAAAAUCGUUGUAUGCUCACACAUAUAUGGUGACUAGACCUUUCAUUCUUUAGAUGAGAUGUUUAUCCUAGAGGCGAGGAAUCAAAAGCUGGUACAGUACUAUUUUGUUUGGUUGCUGGGUAAAUUGACAUUCAUAAAUAUGUUACAGAUCUUAUACAAUUCUUAGGACCAACCAAAUUUAGUGCUAAGAACAUCUACUAUUAGAUGAUGUUGCCCCUCCAUAUCAUAGUUCAAUAUUUCACUCCAAAAUUUACUACACUCCUGGAUCUCUUUGGACCAAGUCAUGAUAAGAUCUACUAUACAUUCCAACUCCACCAAAGAUUCAAAUCCUUUCACGUACUUCAUAAUAGGGAUAUUCACAGGUUGGUUCGAGCUGGGUUUGCUAUUGGUCUAUCAACCAAACCGAAUGUUUCAGGUUGGAAGAGUUCUCGUCCGUUGUCGACCAACCACCUCUUUGAAAUGGACCAAGUCACAACUUUGGUUUGACAGUCGGUGGCAGUCGGUUGUAGUGAGAAGAUUCAGUAGUUAGCAAGGAUGUAUAUAUAAACAUAUAGAUAUAUAAAUGCUUUAGUAGAAGGAUACAAAUCUUAAAAUAUACAUAUGUGGAUAUAAAUCAAAGGAUGUACAAGGACAAAAAGGAUCAGAUCUGAAGUAUAGAAGAAAUCACCAAUCAAAAUCUCAAAUUUGGUUAUGCCUUCAUUGAUGCCACUGUCAUUGUAUCGCUUUACUGAGGGAGAAUGGACUAUUAACCUCCAUCAUUGCCAUGAGAGAGAUUAAGAGUUGAGAGCCAGAAUUCGACUCGGUCCGAUUGAAACGUGAAGGUAUCGACUGAGAUCAAGGGUUUCAUGGAAGAGAUCAAGAGAUAGACUCGGGAAAUGAGAUAUCAAAGAGAUGAAGAGCCUUUUGAUUUCUAAAUUUUGUUGGGAAAUGUGAGAAAUUAUAUUUUCCAAAUUUGUUAUUAAUGGGUAGAAGAUAGCUUCAUUGAGAAAUGUGAGAGAAUUGACUUUUUCAAAUUGUUCAUUGUUGAUCAUAAUCUCAGUAAAACCAACAAAUUCAUGCCACCUAUACAUAAUCUCAUCUUUAUAUAUAUAUAUAUAUAUAUAUAUUCAAAUGGGUCAGUUUUAAUAGGUGGGCAUAAUUUGAAAACUGUUACCGUCCGAGAAUCCAAAAUAAUCGAUUGGGAUUAAACCACUGGCAACUGUUCAUUGAUUCAAAAUUGACUGGAGCUUCGGUUUCAGUUGGUUUGGACGAGUGGGUUGGGUUGUGCGUUUCACUGAACAGCCCUACUUCGUAAUUCACAUGUAGAAAAAUCACAAGAAAAUUAUUGCUUUCUAACCCCAAAACAGCAAUAACUAAUGGCAACUAUGCACAAAUUUUCAAAGUUGGAACACAAUGAGCACAUAUUCUAGAAAAAAAAAAAAAAAAAGGAAAUCGGUUGUUCCUGAUAGCUUUUCUUUCUUCUUUUAAUACUCUGAAAUAUGUUUCCAUCAAAAUUUCAUCGUAAAUGUAGCCAUCACUUGGACUAUUCUAUACUUUUAAAGCUUUAAAUCUCCUGAGGCUCCUGUAUCUGUUCCAGCUCGUAUUAUCUUUCCUUAUGAUAAAAGAUUCAACUUAAUCUUACUAAAUGAAACUUGUAAAUACCAGUACAACUUCACGAUAUUUCAUGGUCUAAUGACCUCCAAAAAGCAGUGUGAAAUAGGGACAAAGCAAUAAAUUUUGCGUAGAGGGAUUUUUAUACAUACAAACAAAAUAUGCAUAUUACACAGUUUAUGACAUGACAUUGAUGCAAUUUUACAACAAUAAGGAUCUUCAAUUUGAAUUGUACAUAUGAGACUUACUUUAUUUCUUACAUUUCUUUUCUCAUAUAUAAAUAUAUAAUAAAAUUUUUAAAAUAUCUAUUUUUUUAAAGCUUAUGUCCACCUUCACACUAUUUAAGUCAAAUUUUUUGCAAACUAUUUUCAUUAAAUCCUUUAGGUUGUGCUUGUAUUCAUGGAUUCAAAUGAGUGGAUUUGGAUUUGAUUAUUAAAGAAAUCUGACUUACUAUAUCAACAAAUGGAUGAACGAUUUGAAGGCGAAGAUAGUUAUUUCGAAUCCAUGAUAACAAGGAUUCUAGCUAAAACAUCUCAACUUAAAGCCUUUUGAUUGGGUCUUUAAUCCAAUUCUAAUACCUAACUCUCCCAUGCAUUUGCAAAUUAAAACCCGAAGGCUAGGUUUGGCAUUCCCUAAAAAGUAAAAAAUUCACUAUACUAUUCAAAUUACGUCAUCUUAUUUAAGUCACAUCACCUCUCUCUCUCACGUCACUUCAAACUCAACCCACUUCAAACUCAACCCAUAUUUCAUCAACCCAUAUUUCAUAAAAAGGAACAUCCAAACAACCCCUAAAUCGUUGGUUUCUGAAAAAUAAAAAAAUAAAAAAAAUUCACAAAUUAACACCAAUCAAACAAACCUAGAACAGAUCUUCACCAAAAACCCAAUAAAACCAUGAACAAAACAAGUAUAAACCCUAAUGCGAUACAUGCCAAAUAAUUGAAACAGUUAAGAUAUUCAACAAAGGAGUGAAAA